UCCGGUUUGUCACCGGCAGUCUCCUUAGAGUGCCCUUGCGUAGCAACUAAGGACAAGGGUUGCGCUCGUUGCGGGACUUAACCCAACAUCUCACGACACGAGCUGACGACAGCCAUGCAGCACCUGUGCUGGCUCUCCUCUUGCGAGGAGUCGUCGCCGUUUCUGGCUUCUACCACCAGCAUGUCAAGGCCAGGUAAGGUUCUUCGCGUUGCAUCGAAUUAAGCCACAUGCUCCACCGCUUGUGCGGGCCCCCGUCAAUUUCUUUGAGUUUUAACCUUGCGGUCGUACUUCCCAGGCGGUUCACUUAUCGCGUUAGCUACGGCACGCAGGGGGUCGACUCCCGCACACCAAGUGAACACCGUUUAGGGCCAGGACUAC
rnacentral:misc_RNA from 1 species